rnacentral:misc_RNA from 1 species
UAGCCAUGCAGACAAUUCGCAUGAGGUCACCACCUGGAGAAAGAAAUUGAAGGUACCUGGCAACAAGUUUACGGCCCUUGGGAAGAGAUACUAAUCGCAUGAACACAAGAUCAUCCUUUGGAGCAAGUUCCACUGUAUGUCCAUUCUUUCCAAGUGGGUCAACCAAUUGCAGUGAUGCUGCAAGCCCUUCCAGCAAUAUCUGCCUCCUAUGUUUUAAUUGGGCUCCACCAUCUUGAAGCUGAUUGAAAUCUAGAAAACGGUCAAUAUCAUCUACAUCAAGAAGAAGGCAAAGACCAUCUUCGACAGUCACUCUAGCUGCAAGCAUUGGCUCCUG